rnacentral:rRNA from 1 species
UGGGGAAUAUUAGGCAAUGGGGGAAACCCUGACCUAGCCAUGCCGCGUGCGUGAAGAAGGUCUUAGGAUUGUAAAGCGCUUUCAGCGGGGAAGAUGAUGACGGUACCCGCAGAAGAAGCCCCGGCUAACUCCGUGCCAGCAGCCGCGGUAAUACGGAGGGGGCUAGCGUUGUUCGGAAUUACUGGGCGUAAAGCGCGCGUAGGCGGACUGAUCAGUCAGGGGUGAAAUCCCGGGGCUCAACCCCGGAACUGCCUUUAAAACUGCUAGUCUAGAGACCGGAAGAGGUUAGGGGAAUACCUAGUGUAGAGGUGAAAUUCGUAGAUAUUAGGUGGAACACCAGUGGCGAAGGCGCCUAACUGGUCCGGUACUGACGCUGAGGAACGAAAGCGUGGGGAGCAAACAGGAUUAGAUAGCCCUGGUAGUCCACGCCGUAAACGAUGAGUGCUAGAUGUUGGGA